UACGUAGGUGACAAGCGUUGUCCGGAUUUACUGGGCGUAAAGAGCGCGCAGGCGGUCGUUCAAGUCGAGUGUGAAAGCCCCCGGCUCAACUGGGGAGGGUCAUUCGAUACUGAUCGACUCGAAGGCAGGAGAGGGUAGUGGAAUUCCCGGUGUAGUGGUGAAAUGCGCAGAUAUCAGGAGGAACACCAAUUGCGAAGGCAGCUCGCUGGGACGUUACUGACGCUGAGACGCGAAAGCGUGGGGAGCAAACAGG
rnacentral:rRNA from 1 species